AGGGAGCUAUUUCUCCUCUUCACAUACAAAAGAACAAUUCCUUUCUUCGUAGUUUUUUGUGCCCAAAAAGGACGGAAAUCAGAGAUUUUGUUUUGAAUUUAAAACAAUUAAAUUGCUUUAUAGAAGCCACAUAUUUUAAGCUGGAAGAAUAUAAUAGGUCAGUCCUCAAGCUCAUUUUCAAGGGUUAUGGCAAAAAUAGAUUUAAAAGUUGUCUAUUUUGCUAUUCCUGUUCAUUAAAAUUCUAAAAAA
rnacentral:lncRNA from 1 species